ACAAUGGAGAGUUUGAUCCUGGCUCAGGAUGAACGCUAGCGGCAGGCUUAAUACAUGCAAGUCGAGGGGCAGCAGGGUGUAGCAAUACAUCGCUGGCAACCGGCAAACGGGUGAGGAACACGUGCGCAACCUCCCUUCAAGUGAGGAAUAGCCCAGGGAAACUUGGAUUAAUACCUCGUAACAUUAUGAAAUGGCAUCAUUUUAUAAUUAUAGCUCCGGCGCUUGAAGAUGGGCGUGCGGCUGAUUAGGUAGUUGGCGGGGUAACAGCCCACCAAGCCUUCGAUCAGUAACUGGUGUGAGAGCACGACCAGUCACACGGGCACUGAGACACGGGCCCGACUCCUACGGGAGGCAGCAGUAAGGAAUAUUGGUCAAUGGACGCAAGUCUGAACCAGCCAUGCCGCGUGGAGGAUGAAGGUCCUCUGGAUUGUAAACUUCUUUUAUAUGGGACGAAAAAAGGGUUUUCUAACUCGUCUGACGGUACCAUAUGAAUAAGCACCGGCUAACUCCGUGCCAGCAGCCGCGGUAAUACGGAGGGUGCAAGCGUUAUCCGGAUUCACUGGGUUUAAAGGGAGCGUAGGUGGGUUGGUAAGUCAGUGGUGAAAUCCCCGAGCUUAACUUGGGAACUGCCAUUGAUACUAUCAGUCUUGAAUACCGUGGAGGUCAGCGGAAUAUGUCAUGUAGCGGUGAAAUGCUUAGAUAUGACAUAGAACACCAAUUGCGAAGGCAGCUGGCUAC
rnacentral:rRNA from 1 species